rnacentral:rRNA from 1 species
ACAGAGGGUGCGAGCGUUAAUCGGAAUUACUGGGCGUAAAGCGUGCGUAGACGGCUAUCUAAGUCGGGUGUGAAAGCCCCCGGCUCAACUGGGGAGGGUCAUUCGAUACUGAUCGACUGGAAGGCAGGAGAGGGAAGCGGAAUUCCCGGUGUAGUGGUGAAAUGCGUAGAUAUCGGGAGGAACACCAGUGGCGAAGGCGGCUUCCUGGCCUGUUCUUGACGCUGAGGCGCGAAAGCUAGGGGAGCAAACGGGA